UACGUAGGGUGCGAGCGUUAAUCGGAAUUACUGGGCGUAAAGCGUGCGCAGGCGGUUUUGUAAGCCGGAUGUGAAAUCCCCGGGCUUAACCUGGGAAUGGCAUUCGGGACUGCAAGGCUGGAGUGCGGCAGAGGAGACUGGAAUUCCUGGUGUAGCAGUGAAAUGCGUAGAUAUCAGGAGGAACACCGAUCGGCGAAGGCAGGUCUCUGGGCUGGACACUGGACGCUCA
rnacentral:rRNA from 1 species